rnacentral:rRNA from 1 species
CUACGGGAAGGCAGCAGUAGGGAAUCUUCCACAAUGGACGCAAGUCUGAUGGAGCACGCCGCGUGAGUGAAGAAGGUUUUCGGAUCGUAAAGCUCUGUUGUUGGUGAAGAAGGAUAGAGGCAGUAACUGGUCUUUAUUUGACGGUAAUCAACCAGAAAGUCACGGCUAACUACGUGCCAGCAGCCGCGGUAAUACGUAGGUGGCAAGCGUUGUCCGGAUUUAUUGGGCGUAAAGCGAGCGCAGGCGGAAUGAUAAGUCUGAUGUGAAAGCCCACGGCUCAACCGUGGAACUGCAUCGGAAACUGUCAUUCUUGAGUGCAGAAGAGGAGAGUGGAAUUCCAUGUGUAGCGGUGGAAUGCGUAGAUAUAUGGAAGAACACCAGUGGCGAAGGCGGCUCUCUGGUCUGCAACUGACGCUGAGGCUCGAAAGCAUGGGUAGCGAACAGGAUUAGAUACCCUGGUAG